UGCAUCGGCCGGGAAUCGAACCCGGCCCGCGUGGCAGGCGAGCAUUCUACCACUGAACCAAAAGC
rnacentral:tRNA from 1 species